UGCGUAGGCGGUAUUGAGAGUCGCGGGUGAAAUCCCAGGGCUUAACCCUGGAACUGCCUGCGAGACCUCAGUACUAGAGUGUGAGAGGGGAUGGUGGAAUACCCAGUGUAGCGGUGAAAUGCGUAGAGAUUGGGUGGAACACCGGUGGCGAAGGCGGCCAUCUGGCUCACAACUGACGCUCAGGCACGAAAGCGUGGGUAGCAAACAGGAUUAGAUACCCUGGUAGUCCACGCCGUAAACGAUGCAUACAAGAUGUAGUGGGGAUUUACUCCUGCUGUGUCGAAGCUAACGCAAUUAGUAUGCCGCCUGGGGAGUACGGUCGCAAGACUAAA
rnacentral:rRNA from 1 species